rnacentral:rRNA from 1 species
UACGGGGGGGGCAAGCGUUGUUCGGAAUUACUGGGCGUAAAGGGUUUGUAGGUGGCUUGUUAAGUCAGACGUGAAAUCCCUCAGCUUAACUGGGGAACUGCGUCUGAUACUGGAAAGCUUGAGUGCAGGAGAGGAACGCGGAAUUCCAGGUGUAGCGGUGAAAUGCGUAGAUAUCUGGAGGAACACCGGUGGCGAAGGCGGCGUUCUGGACUGCAACUGACACUGAUGAACGAAAGCGUGGGGAGCAAACAGG